rnacentral:rRNA from 2 species
GUCGAACGCAAUCUUUGACUAAUGAGUGCUUGCACUCAGCGGUCAAAGUGCGAGUGGCGAACGGGUGAGUAACACGUGGGCAAUCUGCCCAAAAGUGGGGGAUAACACUUGGAAACAGGUGCUAAUACCGCAUCAACCGGCUGACCGCAUGGUCGGCCGGGCAAAGACGGCGUCAGCUGUCGCUUUUGGAUGAGCCCGCGGCGUAUUAACUAGUUGGUAAGGUAACGGCUUACCAAGGUGAUGAUACGUAGCCGAACUGAGAGGUUGAUCGGCCACAUUGGGACUGAGACACGGCCCAAACUCCUACGGGAGGCAGCAGUAGGGAAUCUUCCACAAUGGACGCAAGUCUGAUGGAGCAACGCCGCGUGUAUGAAGAAGGUCUUCGGAUCGUAAAAUACUGUUGUCAGAGAAGAACACGUGAUAGAGUAACUGCUAUGGCGCUGACGGUAUCUGACCAGCAAGUCACGGCUAACUACGUGCCAGCAGCCGCGGUAAUACGUAGGUGGCAAGCGUUGUCCGGAUUUAUUGGGCGUAAAGGGAACGCAGGCGGUCUUUUAAGUCUGAUGUGAAAGCCUUCGGCUUAACCGGAGAAGUGCAUUGGAAACUGGAAGACUUGAGUGCAGAAGAGGAGAGUGGAACUCCAUGUGUAGCGGUGAAAUGCGUAGAUAUAUGGAAGAACA